rnacentral:rRNA from 1 species
GACGAACGCUGGCGGCGUGCUUAACACAUGCAAGUCGAACGGGAUUUCGUAAACAGAAGCCUCGGUGGAAGAUUACUACUGAGAGUGGCGAACGGGUGAGUAACGCGUGAGCAACCUGCCUAUGACAGUGGGAUAGCCUCGGGAAACCGGGAUUAAUACCGCAUAAAAUCGUAGAAACACAUGUUUUAACGGUCAAAGAUUUAUCGGUCAUAGAUGGGCUCGCGUCUGAUUAGCUAGUUGGUGAGAUAACACCCCACCAAGGCGACGAUCAGUAGCCGGUCUGAGAGGAUGAACGGCCACAUUGGAACUGAGACACGGUCCAAACUCCUACGGGAGGCAGCAGUGGGGAAUAUUGCACAAUGGGGGAAACCCUGAUGCAGCGACGCCGCGUGAACGAAGAAGGUAUUCGUAUCGUAAAGUUCUGUCCUAUGGGAAGAUAAUGACAGUACCAUAGAAGAAAGCUCCGGCUAAAUACGUG